CAGGGUUCCUGUCUCGGUCCUGGGUGUGUAUUUACAGGAGAAGACCAGGUUCUAAUCCCACCCUGUGUAACAGUAGAACCAGGUUCUAAUCCCACCCUGUGUUACAGUAGAACCGGGUUCUAAUCCCAACCUGUGUUACAGUAGAACCAGAUUCUAAUCCGGCCCUGUUUAACAGUAGAACCAGGCUCUCGUCCUGUGUGUUAGAGGGUGGAGGUUCUAGCCCUGGUCUGUGUGUUAGAGGGUGGAGGUUCUAGCCCUGGUCUGUGUGUUAGAGGGUGGAGGUCCUAGUCCUGGUCUGUGUGUUAGAGGGUGGAGGUCCUAGUCCUGGUCUGUGUGUUAGAGGGUGGAGGUUCUAGCCCCGGGUGGGUGACUCACGCUGUAGGCUCAGGGAGACGUUGAUCACCCUCUCCUCGGUGAAGCUCUUCAGGUUGGUGAUCUUGGCGCACAGCAGGUGCGUGGGGGCCGGGGCCUCGCCCACGUGGAUCCAGCAGACCGUUUCCUGCGCGUACAGGAAGUCCAUGGCGGUGGUCUGCUUGGUGCUGGCGGACAGCAGGCUGUGGACGGUGAUGCCGCUCAGCGAGGUGGCCUGGAUGUUCUGGGAGUUGGCGAUCAACAGGACGGGCAGGCGGUCCACGGGCA
ensembl:lncRNA